GCAGAUCGCAUGAUCAGCUUUUAAAAAGGCGGCGUAAAGCUGUCGCUAUGGGGAUGGCCCCCGCGGUGCAUUAGCUAGUUGGUAAGGUAAAGGCUUACCAAGGCGAUGAUGCAUAGCCCGAGUUGAGAGACUGAUCGGCCACAUUGGGACUGAGACACGGCCCAAAAACUCCUACGGGAGGCAGCAGUAGGGAAUCUUCCACAAUGGACGCAAGUCUGAUGGAGCAACGCCGCGUGAGUGAAGAAGGUUUUCGGAUCGUAAAGCUCUGUUGUUGGUGAAGAAGGAUAGAGGUAGUAACUGGCCUUUAUUUGACGGUAAUCAACCAGAAAGUCACGGCUAACUACGUGCCAGCAGCCGCGGGUAAU
rnacentral:rRNA from 1 species